rnacentral:rRNA from 1 species
GUGCCAGCCGCCGCGGUAAUACGGAGGGUGCAAGCGUUACUCGGAAUCACUGGGCGUAAAGGGUGCGUAGGCUGGCUUUUAAGUCAGAUGUGAAAUCCAAUGGCUCAACCAUUGAACUGCAUUUGAAACUGGGAGCCUAGAGUUCAGAAGGGGCAGAUGGAAUUAGUGGUGUAGGGGUAAAAUCCGUAGAUAUCACUAGGAAUAUCAAAAGCGAAGGCGAUCUGCUGGGAUGAUACUGACGCUGAGGCACGAAAGCGUGGGGAGCAAACAGGAUUAGAUACCCUGGUAGUCCACGCCCUAAACGAUGAAUGCUAGUCGUCGGGAAGCUCGUCUUUUCGGUGACGCACUUAACAGAUUAAGCAUUCCGCCUGGGGAGUACGGUCGCAAGAUUAAAACUCAAAGGAAUAGACGGGGACCCGCACAAGUGGUGGAGCAUGUGGUUUAAUUCGAAGAUACACGAAGAACCUUACCUGGCCUUGACAUCCCAAGAACUUUCCAGAGAUGGAUUGGUGCUAGCUUGCUAGAACUUGGUGACAGGUGCUGCACGGCUGUCGUCAGCUCGUGUCGUGAGAUGUUGGGUUAAGUCCCGCAACGAGCGCANCCCUCGUCUUUAGUUGCUAACAGUUAGGCUGAGCACUCUAAAGAGACUGCCUCCGUAAGGAGGAGGAAGGUGAGGACGACGUCAAGUCAUCAUGGCCCUUACGGCCAGGGCUACACACGUGCUACAAUGGGGCGUACAGAGAGCUGCNAUACCGCGNGGUGGAGCCAAUCUCUUAAAGCGUCUCUCANUUUC